rnacentral:rRNA from 1 species
UAGUGACCUGCGGAGGAUCAUUAGAGUACCUUUAAACACGUGUAUUGGGGAAAACACCAAAAAACAAGUAUAAAAAAAAACAACCAAAAAAAACUCCUAGCAACGGAUCUCUUGGCUCUCGCAUCGAUGAAGAACGCAGCGAAUCGCGAUACGUAUUACGACUUGCAGACGUGAAUCAUUAAUCUUUGAACGCACAUUGCGCCUUGGAGCAUUCUCCAAGGCAUGCCUGGGUGAGCGUCGGCUAUUCUCAGACCCCCCCAGGUCUGGUUUUGUCGCCCAAACUCCACAAUCAAGAUUUUUCUCUUGACCUCAUCCAGGUAGGACUACCCGCUGAACUUAAGCACAUCAAUAAGCGGAGGAAAAGAAACCAACAGGGAUUGCCCCAGUAACGGCGAGUGAAGCGGCAAAAGCCCAAAUUUGAAAUCCCGCCCCCGCGGGAGUUGUAAUUUGAAGGCCAGCGGCAGCAUGUUCGGAAAACAAAGUCCAUUGGAACAUGGCGCCACGGAGGGUGUUGUUUGGGAAUGCAGCUCUAACAGGUGGUAAAUCCCAUCUAAAGCUAAAUACCGGCGAGAGACCGAUAGCGAACAAGUACAGUGAUGGAAAGAUGAAAAGCACUUUGAAAAGAGAGUGAAACAGUACGUGAAAUUGCUGGGAGGGAAGGGCUUGCAAGCAGACACGGGAGUAAAAAACCCGGGCCAGCAUCAGGUGGAGCGGCGGCAUAAGCGCUGCGGGAAUGUGGCAAAGCCAAUUGGUUUUGUGUUUAUAGCCCGCGCCUCUUCCGCCCGCGCCGCCUGAGGCCAGCGAUUCGAUCAAGGAUGCUGGCGUAAUGGUUGCAAGCCGCCCGUCUUGAAACACGGA